rnacentral:lncRNA from 1 species
AACCCUUAAAGCAUGCGGGCGGCCCUAGCAUACAGAAAAGAAAGAAGUAGUCCUAUUCGAAAACUAAAUUUCAGUCCUAGUAGGUGUGAUAUUGAAGGCCUUCACCGGCUUCCUUAGUGCUUGUGCUAAGGAGUUCAGGGCUAAGGGCUGGCACGUAGGAAGCAUUGGCUAUCAGGAACCCCUAGAGGGAACUAACUCCUUUCUUGCAAAGCUGCUUCAUGAGAAAAAAGUUGUCUUUGUAUUGGAUCCGCUCUUCUGUUAGCAUAAACAUGAAUUAGAUUCUAUUCGUCUUAUUUAUUCUUAAGAGAACCCCCCACCCGAACCAUUCUUAAGACCACCAAGCUCUCUCGAAUGAGUUCUAUUUUUUCUGCUUUCGAGAUACACUAGGGGAUAAAUCUCCUCCUAACUAAUAAAUGAAACUUUGUGCCUAGAUCGUAGUCCUGAAGACGGAUGUGACGAGAAGAAGUGGCAUUUGAAAGUGUUGCUGAAUUAACAUUUAGGUUUCGGCAUAACAAAGCUUGCACUGUCUUUUUGCACUUACGCGCAAAGCGUGCCAUUGGUAAUGAUUCUACUACGGUGCCACAAAUUCGCAAACUGACCCUAAAUAAUCGUUGUUGUUCAUUAGAUUUCGGAGGAACUAAUUCGUUAGGAUAGGGGAAUUGCUGCAAUUCUUCCUAAAUAGCCUGGAUUCUCCCGUCGAGAGUGACUUUGAAAGUAUUUCCUAAACUCUUCCGACUGAAUAUGAUGAAGCAUAUAAAACAACGAGCUACUAUCAUUUCUUCAUUAUAGAUUGAUAUCUUAUUCGAACUUAAUGCACAAAUAGAUGGAAUAGCAGCAAAUAGCAUCUUUCUAGCUUGCAUAUUCGUGGAACUCAAUCUCAUUUAGAAAGGCUCUAUCUAUCUUUCAACAACUAAACGGGAAGUGGUUUAGGAAAGGACUUUAGAAUCAAUCGGAUGCGCUCGCCCAGCGAGAAAGGCCCCAACCCUGCCAACCAAUUAAAAAUAGAAAAUAAAGAAGAGAACGAAAGGAGAAAAGAUAACUUCGUAUUUUGGUAAUUCUCUAGGAGUCAUGUUUAACCUUGAAUACUAUUAAUAAAUUCUACAGCAAUAGUCCCUNNN